AUGCAUCCCUACUGCCUGAGGGUGUGCCUGGAUGAGGAGGGGAAGGACUGGGUCGGCACAUCCAGGCAGGAGGCCUCCUCCCUGGGGGAACGGAGCGCGGACCAGAGUGUACCCCUGGAGGGCGAGGUGUGGAGGUAUACAAAGCCUGGUUCGGAAGAGAGCGACGAGGAAAUUGAUGUGGACGGAUCAGAUGACGAGUGUCCCUCGGUAGGAGGGAUGAAGGAUGAGAAAGAGGGGGAUGGAGAACAGGGAAGUAAAGGUGAAGAAGUGAAGCAACUAAAAAGUCUACUUGUGAAGUGGGACGGGCCCAAAGAAGGCCAGAAGACCAAGAACAAAAAAAGAGUGAGCUUCGGACCUGUCCUGGUGACAUCCUACGAGCUACCGGCAGCAGACGAACCUGACUUAAACGUGCUCCCGGACUUGAGCGAGCUCACCAGCCAAAUCCCCAUUUUUGACUUCAACACCAAAACAACGACCAUUUCCCUCACAACAUCCUCUCCAGAGUCUUCAGCAGCGUCUUCAAAGGACAACCAUCAUCAGGUUGUAACUGACUUGUCUGAAAGGACCGGAGAUACGUCGUCGUCGGAGCCUCCACCACAGCGAGGCGAGUCCAAGCCCAGACCGGCCCUCAGUCUCCAGCAGUACCGCCUGCUGCGCCAGCAAAGACUACCCCUGGUGGGGAAACCUGAGAAUUACACCACCAAAUGGCCCUCUCUACCCGAAACCCCCACGGAGUUGCCUCCUAUACCCUAUUUACAAGGACCUAAAUAUAGCAUGUGCGGACCAACGACCACACAUCCUACACAUCAUUACCUAGGAAGUAAAACAGGGGGUGAUGUCAGUGGAUUCAAGCCUAUAUCUAAGACAAGGACGAAGAUGGUCUCUCCUGCUUGUCCCAGUAAACCUGGUAAAGCCAUUGGCAUCAAUGGAUCAAAGCCUGUUAGAAGUGGGACUAAGACUCCUCCUACCAGCUCAGCUUUAAAGCCCAAACGCAACUCAAUGGAAGCUAAAUCUGCGAAUGAUGUUGGUGUAUUAAAGCCUAUUUGGACUGAGACCAUCUCUCCUGCUAGUCCCUUACCAAGUCCCAACCUGAACUCCAACUCAGUGGCGGGUCUGGGCCAGAACAGGACUAGCCCAGAAAAGAGUGCUGUUGCGGUCAGUAGCGACCCCCCAAACCCUGUCCUGGUCCCACUACCUGGAACCCGUCCAUCUUUGGAUGGAUUUGAUAGGAGCCGUGGGACCAACCAGGAGAAGCAGGAACAAUCUCUACCUCGAUCCACCACCCAGGAGUCUCCGGCGCCCAAGCCCAAAAUGGUGUUCUGCAACCGGGAUCCAAGCCUGAAGAGCACCAGUCUCCUCCUUGAGAUCCAACGGAGGUUCUCCACCAAACAACCAUCGCGGAAAGCACUUCACACCCAAAACACUGCAGAGACCACAAAACAAGGGGAUCAGCCUCGCUCUCUCAGCCCAAGGAAAGGAAUCGAGACCGUACCAGAAGGGUCCAAGUUUUCCCCAAGUGCACCAGUAAUGGCAAGUCCAUCGUCCAGCCCCUCAGUCCAUCCACCCACCCAUGCCGUUGCUCCUUACCCAGAGAUGGAGAGGGCAAAGCGGGUAGCCCUUGGUAACCUCCCCCAUGUCCGACUGUCCACCUCUCCAGAGAGUAACACCUGCAUACAGACCCCCACCUGCGGCACAGCCAAAGAGGAGACUGAGAGUGAACCUGAAGGCAGUCCAGAUAGGAGCCCUGUUAGAGAUGAAGAGCCGAGCAACAACACUGAAGGGAUGCUGACACUGCUGGGUGCCUAUCUCCUCAGCACCCAAGAUAAACUCUGUCUUCCAGCACCCACUGGCUUUCCAGAACUUGUCAACACACUCGAACCCCUCAGAACUCCGGAACCCCUCAGAACUCCGGAGCCCCUCAGAACUCCGGGACCCCUCAGAACUCCGGGACCCCUCAGAACUCCGGGACCCCUCAGAACUCCGGAGCCCCUCAGAACUCCGGGACCCCUCAGAACUCCGGAACCUCUCAGAACUCUGGAACGUUGCGAUACUCAGGAACCUCUCAGCACCCAGAAUGUUCUCAACACUCAGGAACAGGCCCCUGCACAGCCGCGCUGGAAACCACUUACCCCUGUCGCACCUCAGAGGAAGCAACCGGCGACCCCCAAACCUCUCCCUCACAAGGCCAUCCAAAUCAUCAACCCCCGUCCUCUACCACCCAAAAAGGCCCACCCCCUCCCCCCAAAGCCCCCUGUCACCCCCCCUGAGUUCCAGACAGCAGUAUCUGUCUCCUCAGACCACGACUACUGUCUAUCUCAGGAUCAACCAGGGAGUAAUACUACUAUGUUAUGCAGCAAAAGACAAACCAUACUCCCCGACCACCAACCAAUUCCCAACCCCUCCUCAGUGCCCGGCACACAGAACUCUGGGAAAUAUUUGCGGCAGCAGCAGCCGGUGGACUCCAGGACUGUUCCAGAGACACAACUUCCCUCAGACUCUGCUCCGCCAUCUACAGAGAGCUCCCCCUCUAGGACGGACGCCAUUACUGCAGGGGAGACACAGGCAGAGAGAACCAGCCCCUGCAUCCCCUCCCCUCCUUCACCCAGUCCCCCUGCCAGAGGUAGGAGGUCGUCCCGGCGCUAUCGGACACGGUCUUCAUGCUCGGACUCUAGCUCCCCUUCUUCAUCGUCAUCUUCCUCAUCCUCCUCCUCUCGAUCCAGGUCUCGCUCUCCACCCCGAAAGAGGUAGUUUCAAAUUCUGUGUGGUGACUGUUAUUGCUCUUGAAUU
rnacentral:lncRNA from 13 species